GCCCCUCCCCCAUUCACGCUCUCCUUCUCUCUCUCUCUCUCUCUCUCUCAAGAAUAAAUAAACAUUAAAAAAAAAAAACCAAAAUCCCAACAAAAACAGAACCGCCAUGGAGACUCCUCAGGCUUUGCUGGGGUUUUUCCUCUCUUCCUCCACUUCACCCCUACAUUUAUGGGGGUCGUUGUAAGGCUGUGUCCUCACGGAGAGUGAUUAGUCAACGGUUUGGGGCAGCACAGUCUUCCCAAGGUGGAGGGGAGGGAGACCAGAGUGCCCCCACUGGAUGGCCGUGAGCAACAGCACCUUCUCUGAAAGAGGGGACAGCGGGGGAAGCUAGAAACUGGCAGAAGGGUCCCACUCCCUCCUAGGCACCACCUGAAUGUUGAGCCUCAGGCGGGAAGGCUACAGGGACAGGCGUGUCAAAAUCACUGACUUUACGUGCCUUUUGCUUGAUGUAAAACUGGGCCACUAUGUUUUCUUCUUCUCCACCCGACACACCCAGCCCACUCUUCCAGGAUGCGAAUGUGCCUGCGAGGACCACUCCACGCCACCAGGGGACGUCGGAGACUUCCACGUCUCCUCGCGCAAAGGUCUCCUGUAUGGCUGGUCGCAGGGCAGGAAGACCAUGGGCUUCUCCCCAGUUCCCUGACUCCCUGGACAAACGAGCCCUCGGGGGGAAAUUGAGGCUCUGUGAUACAUUGGACAGACCAGCACAGAGCAAAUGACUCACUUGCCAAAGGUUAUGCCCGUGCACCAAGAAGCCUGGGAACAGAGUCCAGAGACUUGAGCGUCAUGUGUUGGGGCCUGUUCUGUCCACGUCUUCUGCCGAGGGACACAUCUGGGCUGCGGACCAAAGUUAUUAAAAUGUGGAGCUCAGAUCCUAACUGUGCACGAGCCCCCUGUGUGCUCAUCGGCGUGCUUUGGGCUUUCCACACGUACCUUGUGAGACUGGUUAGCUCCCCUCAGCCCCCCAAAUGGAGCUCUGGCAGGCCCUGGGGGUGCAGGGAGUUGGGCCAGGCGUGUCCGGCUUCUAGGCUGGCCUCCCGAACCACAGGUGAGUCAUCAGGUCGGUCAAGUUGGUGGGGCCGGAAGAGCCUGGCUGGCCCGGAAAGCUGCCUCCCAGGGCGGAAUCCUAGAGAGCACUCGUUGGGAGAGGCUGGGAGAGCCUUGGGACAGAGGGUGUGUUCCUUCUGGGUUUAUUUCUACAUUUCCGCUUGGGGGCAGAGGGUGGGGGAGGGUGGAGGCCAGGGUGCUGGUGUGGGGGUGGGGGUUGGGGUAAGGAUGAAGGCCAAAGGAACAGUUAAGUACGUUUGGAAAAAUUGCUGUGUACUUGGGCGUGACUCUCAUUCCGUCUUUAAAAGAAAAGGACAGUUGGGUCCUCCUUUUAUAAUUAGGAAAAAAUGUUAAAAAUGAAAAAAAAAAUCAACUACGUGGAAGACUUUUGAUGAUGGUUGCAGGACUCUGUCAUUUGUGGACUCCGAACCCUGACGGGAACCACUAAUCUAGCGCUUAACACGGAUGCCUCAUCGUGUCCUCUGUUUCACCAGUGCUGACUUCCCGUCUCCAGAUGGAUUUGUUAUUAUUAUGCAGGGGGCAGACCUUCCCCAGGGAGGGCCCGGGGCAGUCACUUGGUCCCAGGCUGCUGCUGCAGAACCCUCUGUUGAGCACCCCAAACUUCCUCAAUGAAGUUUUUUUCAGAGGUUUAAGUGGGAGGUGAUAGCUCACAUUUAGAAGGUUCUUCAUGGCGUACAAAGCGUCUUGUUUACACUUUGAAUGUGACCUUCACCACGAAGCGGGGAAGAUAAAUUUUGUUACUGUUAAUACGAGACUUGUUAGGGAACCAAAGCUCGGAGAGGUUAAGAAGCUUGCCAGACGUCACACGACCAAUUAGAGGCAGAACUGAAAUCUCUGGGUUGCUUGUGGGGAAAGCUCAUGAUGUGCCUCUGAAGUUUCCAAGCCUUGUUACAAGUCAGAUUAUCUCAUUUGCCUUUCUAACAGCCUGUGCAUUAGGAGGGUGGAUGUUGUCAUCUUUCUCUAAGGGACAAGUUAAGGAAGGCCCCCAGUGUCGCGCAGGGGCAAGGGGCCGAAUGUAAUGCCAAGAUCUCUUUGCUCUCCUUCUAAGUGUCGCCUCCAACAUUUGUGCGUAUCAUGAGCAGAGGUGUGUGUGGGUGUGGGUGAUGUUACCAGACGGAAAAAAAAAAUAAAAGGAAAACGCUACAUGAAUUAUUCGUCUCUGGGCAACAAUCGCUUCACAGCUCGGCUCAGAGAGCUGGCAAGUCCCUGAUCUCAAGCUUAAAAAUGAGGGAAUAAGAACCUCAGAUAAGCGAGGUGGCUUUGCUCCCCACCCGUGUCACAUCCGUUUGCCCUGUGCUUCUCUGUUCCACACUGGCUGCUCCUUUCCCGACACUCUCCCUGAGAACCCGGAGGCUCAUCGUCACCCCCGCCGUGCCCCCGCUGCCAUGCCCGUCCUCAUUCUAUUUUGGAUCUCUAGAAACACCUAUGAGCCUGACUUCUCUUUCCAGCUCUCUUGGGGAGAGAGUCCUCAGUCCAUUUCAAGCAGUGGAGACCGUCGGGUUGAGCUCUGCACGGAGUGGUCCUCACUGCUGCUCCCUCGGUCCCCAGCAGUGAUCAACUGUAAUUGGCUGGAUGGGCGACCAGUAUCUGCCACCCGGAGCCGGUCCUGGGCACAGAGAAGAGGUGCCACGCAGUCCCCAGGGGAAGGAAGUCAGCUGUGAGCGAAAAGCCUUGCCGGGUUCCCUCCUCUCCGGGGUGGACUGCGGGGCCAGUGGGAGUAGCCGUCUGGCACACACGUGAAUGCUAAGGGUCACCCUUGCUCUCCUGCCACUGGGCCGGCUCUCCCCAGCUGGAAAGAUGUACCCAGUCUAGCUCAGGAGCCGCGUGGAGACCUCCCUGUGGCCAGCCCGUGGCCAGGGCCCCUAGUCGGGUCCCCCAGGUGGCAGGCCUUUUGCAAGCCAGCACCCAGAGCCCCGGGAUACUGGUGUUCGUCCUGGUACCUGCUGUUCACGUGCCCUGUCUGGCUGCAGCAGGGGGUGGGCGGGCAGAGGGGCUGGAGGGAGACUACCCACAUCCACGGAGCAAAGAUAACUUGGCUCUGGUGUGUCAGAAAGGGCUGUUUUCUGCAUUCUCCACCUCCACCCAGAUCCCUCAGCGGCUUUGAUGUGUUUCAGCGUCCCAUCCCCCAUCACCUUCUAGCACCUUCUGACUUGUCAAGAAGCAUAAAGUAAUUGGCAGAGACGAGAUAAAAGAGGGGUGUGUGUGUGGGUGCCGGGCGUCUAAUUUCCUUCCACCGCCUUACUCUGCCCCCCCCCGCCCCCAGAUUUCUAAUUGCAUUUGAGAAAGAAUAAUGAGCAUCAAAUAAAUACAGAGCAACUUACCCCUGCUCCACCUGUGGGACACCGCCGCCUGAGCAUCAUAACACAACAGCAGAAGCAGCAGCGUGUUCCAACACAUCUUUUGCUCCAAAAAGGUGACACUUGUCCUCGAACCCAAUGGGACCUCAGGAGCUACAGGUAUUCAGCAUGACCUCAGGCAAGCGAGUCUGAAGCAGCCAGACAUGAGGCAUUCCCAGUGAGGUUUAUCUCUGACACUGUUCCGUGCCGAACACAGAGCUACAUCAUUCUACGUGCUUCUGGUGGGGACCCCCAUAAAUCCUCAUCUGCAGCAAAGGAAUUCUGUCGCGCUUCAGGUGACCAGCCUAGGACCGGGUGGUGGCCAGAGCCAUCUGGGGGAAAGGGUACAGAAGACAGGGGUGAGAAGGGAGAGAUGAUGUGGUUGGUCGCCAGAUUUAGCACAUCCGAAAAAAAUGAUUUUUUAGUUUAAAUAUGUUCCCCAAUGGGGCGCCUGGGUGGCUCAGUUGGUUAGGCGGCCGACUUCGGCUCAGGUCAU